UUCCGGCGAGCAUUCGGAUCUGCCGUGGGUACGCAUUAGGACUUGCUCCACCGCGUCGUCGUCCGUGCUUGCGCGGCUCGACCAGCAUUCUAAAGCAGCAGCCAUGGCUGGUUUUAGAGAGAGAAAGUGAAACAAAGGUUAGAGAGAUGAAACUUUUAAUGCGAACAGUGAAAUACAUGGGAGUUUUGUAAUGCUGCUGCUGCUGCCAUUUAUUUUUCUGUCUGACAUCAAACACUA
rnacentral:lncRNA from 1 species